CGGGCCGUAGCGCAGUUUGGCUAGCGCGCUUCCUUGGGGUGGAAGAGGUCGCGGGUUCAAGUCCCGCCGGCCCGACCA
rnacentral:tRNA from 1 species